UCUCUCCUGAGGCUCGGUCCCAGCUGACAGCAUGGAGCACUGGCUCACACAUCCUGCCUCAUCCCGGCUCACACGUGGGAACAACGGGUCUGGGGAAACACGCUUGCCAUCUUCAAAGACUACCAUCAGCACCUUGGCUAGACCGGUGUGAUCAGCAGUUUCUGUCCCAUCGUCCACAAGGUGUAGUUUUUCUUUAGAACGCCAGGCAAAGGAAGGGGAAGCAACUCUGCAAAAGACAACCCAAAAGUGUGGCCGGUGCAGCAGCCUCCUCCCCGACAGGAGAGUGCCGAAAGGAGGGGUUCACCUGACAGUGGAACGACCUGACCUUGACAGCUCAGCCAAGGUGGCUUCAGCCAUGACAGGGACGAUGAUGCCUGGGAUCAUCUGUACCCUGGAGAUGAAUGAUGAGGAGGGCACCUUGCCUCUGCGCAUGCCCAGGCUGCUCGCGAGGAUAUCAGACAGUUCCGGCUGAGGGUCCUUCUGCAGAAUAGUGCCCAUCACUCUUCAGGCCUGUCAGGCUGGGGCCUCGGCCCUGCCUGGGUCCACUCAACCCUCAUACCAACCCCUGUGGUGCACCCUGCCACCAUCUUUCUGUCCUUCAAAAGCACUAAGAGCCAUGCCCCUGGCAGCACUUUUGUGUUUGGUUUGGUUUCAUUUUUUGAGACAAAGUCUUGCUAUGUACAUAGCCCAGGCUGGCCUUGAACGCAUGAUCCUCCUGCCUCAGCCUCCCCUUGCUGUGUGCACCACCGUGUUCUGUAAGUGUCCCUGCAACAGGUUUGCCGAGAGCCAAUCUCCUGUCGUUCCUGGAGCAGGGAUCCUGUCCAGGUUGCCGUCAUGCCAGUCAUCACGAGGUACACGUCUGGAAGGCUCGGCGGAGCUGGGGUAAAGGCCCUGAGUUCGAGGAGCCUAUGCACACAUGCAAGUGUGGACAGGGCUCUGAGUGACCAUUGUCUGUGCACACGCCAUGCCUACGUCUGCAGGCACAGUGUGGCCCAGGGAGUGGCCGUCCCUCACUGAGGUCCCCCGGGAGCAAGCUUGCUGUGGGGAGACGGCUCCUCUCUGCUGCUUCUCCAGGUCUGAGUAUUAAAAAGCCGAUUUGCUCUGUGUCCCCAGCAGGCGACAGGAUGGGGACUUCAGCGGCAGAGCACCUGCUGUGUUAAGGAAGUGACAGGCGAGCCUGUGGCCCCGCAGUACAAGAUGCCUUUGGCCAGCGGAUGCGGGUCUGGUGGCAGUGGUGCUGCUGACUGGGUCUUGGACUCAGCUUCUCCAUGGCGGGACCAGGACAGCUGCCCUCAAGCCGCCGUGAGUGACGAGAGCAAGCGAGGCCCCCGCCAAAGCCAUCCCGCUGCCCUGCCUGCCUGGCGCCAUGUGGGCCUCCGCUGCCUGGGGAAAUGGUGGCUGCGGCUCUGCGGUCUGUGUAGUAGGGGGCAGCCUGCCCUGAGGGAAUACGGCACACAGACCUCGCGGACGCUGCAUGAUUUUGAUGGAAUAUGAUGGGCGAGAGUGUUUUCUUUCUGUUUUGCAGUGGUUUUGUUUUUUUAUUUUUAAAUCACCAGGUUUGGUGGUGCAUA